rnacentral:rRNA from 1 species
ACGGUAGCAGGUAAGUACUUGUACUUAUGCUGACGAGUGGCGGACGGGUGAGUAAUGCUUGGGGAUCUGGCUUAUGGAGGGGGAUAACGACGGGAAACUGUCGCUAAUACCGCGUAGAAUCGAGAGAUGAAAGUGUGGGACCUUCGGGCCACAUGCCAUAGGAUGAACCCAAGUGGGAUUAGGUAGUUGGUAGGGUAAUGGCCUACCAAGCCGACGAUCCCUAGCUGGUCUGAGAGGAUGACCAGCCACACCGGGACUGAGACACGGCCCGGACUCCUACGGGAGGCAGCAGUGGGGAAUAUUGCGCAAUGGGGGCAACCCUGACGCAGCCAUGCCGCGUGAAUGAAGAAGGCCUUCGGGUUGUAAAGUUCUUUCGGUGACGAGGAAGGUUGUUGUGUUAAUAGCGCAACAAAUUGACGUUAAUCACAGAAGAAGCACCGGCUAACUCCGUGCCAGCAGCCGCGGUAAUACGGAGGGUGCGAGCGUUAAUCGGAAUAACUGGGCGUAAAGGGCACGCAGGCGGACUUUUAAGUGAGGUGUGAAAUCCCCGGGCUUAACCUGGGAAUUGCAUUUCAGACUGGGGGUCUAGAGUACUUUAGGGAGGGGUAGAAUUCCACGUGUAGCGGUGAAAUGCGUAGAGAUGUGGAGGAAUACCGAAGGCGAAGGCAGCCCCUUGGGAAUGUACUGACGCUCAUGUGCGAAAGCGUGGGGAGCAAACAGGAUUAGAUACCCU